rnacentral:rRNA from 1 species
GAUGAACGCUAGCUACAGGCUUAACACAUGCAAGUCGAGGGGUAACGAGAGGAAAGCUUGCUUUCCUUGUCGACGACCGGCGCACGGGUGAGUAACGCGUAUCCAACCUGCCCCCAACUAAGGAAUAACCUUGCGAAAGUAAGACUAAUACCUUAUAAUUUCCUCAGAUGACAUCUGACGAGGAAUAAAGAUUUAUCGGUUGUGGAUGGGGAUGCGUCUGAUUAGCUUGUUGGCGGGGUAACGGCCCACCAAGGCAACGAUCAGUAGGGGUUCACAGAGGAAGGUCCCCAACCAUGGAACUGGUACACGGUCCAAACUCCUACGGGAGGCAGCAGUGAGGAAUAUUGGUCAAUGGGCGUAAGCCUGAACCAGCCAAGUAGCGUGCAGGAUGACGGCCCUAUGGGUUGUAAACUGCUUUUAUACAGGAAUAAAGUUAGCCACGUGUGGUUAUUUGUAGGUACUGUAUGAAUAAGGACCGGCUAAUUCCGUGCCAGCCGCCGCAGUAA